rnacentral:tRNA from 1 species
GGAUAGGUCGUCCAGCGGCUAGGACAUUGGUUUGUGAGACCGAAGACAUGGGUUCGAUUCCCAUCCAAUCCCCCA